GACGAACGCUGGCGGCGUGCUUAACACAUGCAAGUCGAACGGAAAGGCCUCUUUCGGGGGGUACUCGAGUGGCGAACGGGUGAGUAACACGUGAGUAACCUGCCCUUGACUUUGGGAUAACUUCAGAAAACUGGGGCUAAUACCGGAUAGGAGCUCCUGCUGCAUGGUGGGGGUUGGAAAGUUUCGGCGGUUGGGGAUGGAUUCGCGGCUUAUCAGUUUUUUGGUUGGGGAGUGGCUUACCAAGGCUUUGGCGGGUAGUCGGCCUGUGAGGGUGACCGGCCACAGUGAGUAUGGGAUACGGCCCAGACUCCCACGGGAGGCAGAAGAGGGGGAUAUUGCACAAUGGGUGGAAGCCUGAUGCAGCAACGCCGGGGGCGGGAUGACGGCCCUCGGGUUGUAAACCGCUUUCGCUCAUGACGAAGCUUUGUGUGACGGUAGUGGGUAAAGAAGCACCGGCUAACUCCGUG
rnacentral:rRNA from 1 species